GACAAGACCAUUUAUCAAAUUUCUUGUGGAUAUAAAUACAUACACAUAGACGAGACCAACCUCCUCAAAUGAGAAUCAGAGUGAUUACAAGACCUUUCAAUGAGACAAUAAUACACCAUCAAAUCUCAAAAUACAAUAGAAAUUCAUGACAUAUAUAUAAUAAAAGACCACUCAUUGAGUCAUAUAUAUUGAGAAUAAAUUUUUUUUAAUACAUACAAAGAGCUUAGCUAGAAUGAAAUGUCUUUGGACUUGCGAUGAUCAAACAAAGGAAACAGACAUGUUGCAACUCACACUAUCACAGAUGUAGCGACACAAUGCAGUGAAUCACAAGAAGAUCACGAAGAUGGAAACGGGAACCCCUCAGAAUGUAAACUUUGAAUAGAGGAAAAAAGGAAAACGACCUUAUUCACAGAGGACGAGUGACUUAAAUCUUCAUCAGUAUCCAAACAUUCUGCAAUCAUAGAGUAGAGAAAUUUUAACAGGAACAGCAGAGAAAAUAUUAUGAAUAUGCACUGAUUACUUUUUUUUUUUUUAAUUUUUUUAAUCCGCUGCUGUACCGUACAUCCGCCUUGGCCGUACAGCAGUCUCUUAAAACACUAAUCACUCAAGAGCAUUAAAACUCUUAGUCUCUCACUCUAGAAUUGAAGAAGAAAAGAAUGAAAUGCAGGGGUGAACCCCUCAUUUAUAGUUAAAAAUUUGGGCACUAUUUAUAUUUUUAUAUAUUUUUUUUAAAUUAAAAGUUUGAACUUGACAUUCAAACUUUGAAUAUCAAAAGGUAUUGGUCGCUCUUCUAGAAAAGCGACAUUGACUUUGAUAUUCUCCCACUUAGAAAUUUGAUUGAGAAUCAAUCAAUCUCCACACCAUCCUUUCUGCUUCGUCGCUAUCAUGUUGCUUAUGUCUCUACUAGGCCAUAAAAUGAUAUACUCCAAACAAAUUUAUCAGCAUUGAUAGGCUUGGGCAAAACAUUUGUUAAGUUCUCCUUGGUAUCCACUCUUAUAUCUUUCACUACUUCACGAAGAAGUGAUAUUGUACUCCUAUAUUCUUUGUCCUAAAAUAAAAGGUUGGAUUCCUUGCAUUUUAUUAGCCCAGCGCCGUUGAUCCGCUGUCUCUCCAUAGCAGACGUUUACUCGGCGUGAUUGAUUCUCCUGUAGUGAAAAUCUUCAUCUUGGGACAACCAAUCACACAUAACUCUUGCAAAGAUGGGAAUUUGAUGGUGUAAUUGGUAGAGCAGAAACUUGUGAGGCUAUCUAAAUCACGCAGUUCCAACGUCUUCAAUUUACUGGUGAAGUAGGUCCAUAGCUAAAAUAAAAUUGGAAGAAAAUGAAGAGCAAGCACACAGAGGACACUAAAAAUUACGUGGUUCGACUUUUAACAUACGUCUAUGGGUAAAGACAAAAGGAUAAAACUUUAGUGGUGAAAUGAGGAUUACUAGUAUUAUAAUAUUUUGUUUCACUUCCCAGAACCCCAAUCCACUCAAUCUCUUAAAACACUAAUCACUCAAGAGCAUUAAAACUCUUAGUCUCUCACUCUAGAAUUGAAGAAGAAAAGAAUGAAAUGCAGGGGUGAACCCCUCAUUUAUAGUUAAAAAUUUGGGCACUAUUUAUAUUUUUAUAUAUUUUUUUUAAAUUAAAAGUUUGAACUUGACAUUCAAACUUUGAAUAUCAAAAGGUAUUGGUCACUCUUCUAGAAAAGUGACAUUGACUUUGACAUUCUCCCACUUAGAAAUUUGUUUUAUUAAGAUUUUCUGCAAAAUCUGAAUGCACAAAGCCCUUGACAGUAAAUUCUAAUCCUUCGCAGCAUAAUGCAACAUCUGAUGUUCCUCUGAUAUUUCUCAGAAUCCUCUUAAUAGUCUUCCAAUGUUCUUUGCAAGGAUUCGCUAUGUAUCGACUAACCUCUCCCACUACUUGUACAAAUCAUAGCGAACCUUAAAUUUUCCACUGCUGAUGCAUACAGUACUCAAGACAUCUCUUCUUCUCUACUUCAUUACUAGAUGAAUACUUAAGAAUAACUUGAAAUUAAUGGGAGGCGGGGUAGAAAGCCAAAUCUUUUUGCUAUUACUAUCUCGGUGAAUUUGCAUCCCUAAAAUCUUGUUUGCUGGUUCUAAGUCUUUUAUUUCAAACUCCCUAGUUAACUGUGCUUUAGUUCUUGGACUCGAUCUUUGUUGGGGCCUGCUACUAAUAUGUCAUCAACAUACCACAGUAGAAUGAUGAAAUUAUUAUUAUCAAACUUGUUGUAAUAUGUACAACAGUCUGAACUGAUUCUAUUGUAUCCAAGGUUUAUGAUGAAUGGAUCAAAUCUCUUAUAUCAACAUCUCGGUGCAUGUUUGAGAUCGUAUAGAGAUUUGUUUAACUUGCAAACCAAGUGUCCCUUUUUAGUAAAACCUUCUAGUUAGAGCAUAGAAAUCUUUUCUUCAAGUUCUCCAUAAAGAAAUGAAAUUUUCACAUCUAACUGCUCCAAAUAUAGGUCAAAUGUAGCACACAUCGACAAGACCACUCUGACUGUCCUGAGUCAAAUCACUGGAGAAAAUAUCUCAUUGAAGUUAAUACAUUCUUUCUAAGGAUAUUCUUCCAUCACCAAUCUUUCAUGAUACCGCUCCACUAGGUUAUUACCAUCACGUUUGAUCUUAUGGACCCAUUUCCAACCAAUGGGUCUUUUUUUUUUCAUAUAGUAGUAGUACGAGUUCCUAUGUCAUAUUCUUGUGUAGAGCCUUAAUUUCUUCCUGCAUUGCUAUCAUUCACAAAGUAACAUCUGAGCUGUUUAAGGUUUCAUGAAAAGUUGAUGGCUUUCCAUUCUCUAUUAAAAGACAGUAUGCAAAAUUGAUAUCUAUGACAUAAUCCAAAUGCCACACUGACAAUUAUCUAUCACGAGUUGACCAACAAACUUUUGGGGCCUCAGACUCGAUUGGUUCUUGUUCUCAUACUUUGGUGCUGUUUCAAAAAAAUCUAAAUCUUCAUUUUCCAAAUUAUUUUCAACAUAUAUUAGCACAAUCUCUGAAUUUUUAUAGUGCUAUCAUCCAUAUCUCUCUUUUGCAUUUGAUCUUCUACAAAGAUAAUAUCUCUACUGAUAACGAUCUUAUGGGCAUUGAGGUCCCACAGAUAAUACCCUUUCACUCCAUCAAUAUAUCCUAAGAAGAUACAUCUCUUGGAUUUUGGAUCCAUCUUUAAUCUCACUUGGGUAUUGUAUAUCACGUAAAAGGACAUCAAAAUGCCUAAGAUGAGAGUAAUCAACUGGCUUUCCUGUCUAUUUUUUCCAUUGGAAUUUUCAACCCGGUUGCAUUGAAUGAUGACCCACUUACCACAUAAUAAGUAGUUUUUGCUACUUCCGCCUAGAAUGAGUUGGUAGACCAGCAUUUCUCAACAUAACUCUUUUUUUUUUUAUAAGAGUCAUGCCCUUUCACUCUACUACUCUAUUUUAUUGAGGAGUGUAUGCCACCGUGAACUAUCUCUAGAUACUUUCUUGCUUACAUAUGCAAGAAACAUGCUAUUUGUAUACUCUCCACCAUUGUCUGUCCUCAGGCACUUGAUCCCUUGCCCUGAUUUAAGUUCAAUCUACGCUUUGAAUUCUUUGAACAAUAGAAAUACAUUUGACCUUUUCUUGACUGGAUACACCAAAUAUCUCCUAGAAUAAUCAUCAAUAAAAGUCACCAAAUACUUUGCACCUCCCAUAGAUAUAUCAAUUGAUUCCCAAACAUUAGAAUGAAUCAAGUCUAAAAUACAUUUACUUUUGAAAGUGGAUCUGCUAAACUUUCAUCUAUGUUGCUUCCUUGUUUUGACAUGUGGCCAAGUUUAAGAUGCCACAUCAUCACUGAAUUUUCUCUAUUUGAUGUGACUGACACAAAAGCUUUCUGUAGUGUUUCCCUUUAAGCAUGAAUAAAUUAUCACCGAUCUUUUCCACCUUCAUUAAUGCAAGUGCGCCUUUGACUAUCUUUAUGAUCCCAUUUUCUACAUGAGUUUUGUGCACAAGGCUAUCUAUUUGUCCUAAAGACAAGAGAUAUUUUUCAAGUCUUUGACAUGUCUUACCUUCUCAAUUGUGCGAACCAUACCAUUAAACAUAUUUAUUUUGACAGUACCAAUAUCAGUAAUCUCAAAGGCAUAAUCAUCACCUAUGUAUACAAAUUCUCUUGAAAUAGGUUCAUAUUUGUGAAAUCAUUCUCUUGGAGAGAUCAUGUGCCAGGCAACUAUUAAGUCUAUAAGCCAGAUGUCAUAUAGUGGUUUUCUAUCUUCUGAAGCAGUUGUUGCCUUACUGUAAAGAAUUUUGCCAUCAUACGAGGUACUUACUACAUACCCUUGAGCAUUUGAUGACUCAGAAUCUUUACCAUCUCUUCUCUUCUAGUUGUUCCAAAACUCUUCCUUGACAUGCCCUUUCUUGCAACAGUUGUUGCAUUUGACAUUCUUUUUACUUCUAGAUUUUGAUCUACCGUGACUGUGGCUCUCACUAGGGCCACGUUCCAUGGAUCUUCCUUUCAUCACCAAUAGCGCUUCUACUUGUUGCGAACUCUUUUGUCUAUCUUUUUUAUUUUUUGCUACUCUCCUCAUUUAAUACGGAGGCUGCCAUAUUGUCAAAGACUAACUUGUUUGCUCGAUUGUUAUUAGUUAUAUUAAUGACGAAUUGAUCAUACGAAUCUGGUAAACCUUGAAGUAAAAGCUCUAUAUGUUUAUUUUCCUCUAUUUUAUGACCCAACGUUGUAAGUUAUGAAAAUAAAGUCUUUAAAGUGUUGAUAUGGUCGAUCACUGAUGUAGAUUCCUCCAUUCGAAGAGUAUAAAGCCUCAUCUUUAAGAAGAUUUUAUUUUGUAGUGAUUUGACCUCGUAUAGUCUUGUGAGAGUAAACCAUAUUUCCUUUACUCUCUUUUACUCUACCAUAUUGAAAAAUACCCUAUCUGAAAGUGGUAAGUGUAGAUAUGCAAUGGCAUUAUUGUCUAUCUCAUUCCACUUGCCAUCAUUAGUUAUCUUUGUGAGCCUCUCUUCAAUUGCUGCCAAGCAAUUACUUUUCCUCAAUACAACCUUCAUCUUCAUUUUUCAUGACGAAAAAUUAUUUUUGUUGAACUUCUCAAUUUUGUAUUUUUCCGCCAUCACUUUUCACCACGAGCUACCUUUGCUAAGAUCGAUUCCUACCAUUUCACAUGAGCAGUAACUGUAUAUAUGAAUAAAGUGUCGUAUACAGAAACAAUAUCAUAUACAUGAACAAUACAAUAUAUGUAAACAGUAUCUCGACCCCAAAAAAUACAACCCGGCUCUAAUACCACUAUUAGAAAAUUGAUUGGUGAAGUAGGGCCACGACUAAAAUGAAAUUGGAAGAAAAUGAAGAACAAGCACACAGAGGACACCAUAAAUUAUUUGAAGAAAAGAAUAGAAUGAAUGAAAUGAGGGGGUGAACCCCUCUAUUUAUAGCUAAAAAUUUGGCACUUUUUAUAUUUAUUAUUAUUAUUAUUUCAAAAUUUAAAGUUUGAACUUGAUAUUCAAACUUUGAAUAUCAAAAGAUACGGGUUGUUCUUCUAGAAGAACGGCACCAACCUUGACUCUUAGGCAGACCUUUAGAGCUUUAAAUAAAGAAAAAGCUUUUAAAAAUGCCAUGUGUACUUGAUUAUACAAUAAUCUCCACCACAUAGAGUGAUUUGAUAAAAGAAAAUUUUUAUUUUUAAUUUUACUUUUAUCAGGCAUGGUGCAUUUCCCCUUGGGCUCACAUGUAAAUACUUUUAUCAGGCACGGUGCAUUUCCCCUUGGGCUCAUAUGUAAGGAUGUCAAUAAGAUGGGAAGGAGAGGGGAUUGAUUUCCCCAUACUCAUCUUUAAUACUCUGUCUAUCUCUUUGUACUCUAGACAUUUCCUUCAAAAUCACUUGAAAGAAGGGGAUGGAUGUUUCUAAAUAAUACAAAGGGAUCUCCGAUGCUAUCCGAUCUCUGAUUAUUUAAUUUCUUUUUUUUCUUAAUUUAAUCAUCUUAAAGUAAAAAUAUAAAAUCAUAUUAACACAAAAAAUAUCAAAUUAACUAAAGUGAUUAAAAUCAUUUCCAUCAAAUUAAGUCAAUGUCAUCAAAUUAGAAGAUAAUCUUUGAACUAAUUAAGCAAAAGUAAAUCUUCAAAGUUGAACUCAUCCAUAAAUGUCAUAUAGUAUAAACCAUCAAUUAAAUUAUCUUUGUCAAUUUUAAAGUGUUUAUAUUUACUUUAUAUUGGCUGUUAUUUAUAUUAUUUUUAUAAAUGUAUUGUGAUAUUUUUUAUUUACAUCACACUAUUAUAAUUGAAAUUUUAAAUGUAUUUACUAUAAAUUUGAAAUAAAUUAAUUAAAAAUAGAAUGUAUUUACUAUAAAUUUGAAAAAAAAAUGAAUUAAAAAUAAAAACUAAAGAUAAAAAUAGAAAAAUGUGGAGCCAAAUAAAAUAUUAGGGCAAACACUAAGUUAUAUUUCAUGUAACUUACACCCACACAUAUUAAUUGAUCACAGAAAUUAUACACCCACACAUAUUAAUUUAUCAGAUUCUUGUCUCCACAUAGAAAAAUUAGAUCUAAAAUUAUCAAACUCCCGAAUGAGGAAGAUCCCUCGGGGCCAUCGUCCCUGUGGAAAUUUCUGCAUCCCUGCAGUCUACAACGCCUAAUAAUGAAUUGAACGGUUGAAAUCCCUCUAAAUUUUUGAUAAUUUCUAAUCGCCCCUCCAUAUUUGAUUGAACAUCAAAACUAUUGAGUCCAAAUUUAUAACUUUGAUUUAUCUUCCAUUCCAUAGUUUUCAAGUUCUCUCUCUCUCUCUCUUUUAAUCCUUUUUACUGCAACCACCAUCAAAGCCUAGUAGUUAAUAUGUAUGCUGCUUUGCUUUCAAAAUCGGACACUACUGGUAUUUAUGGUUUUUAUUCUUUAUUUGACACAAAAUUUGGCGAUAUCUCCGCGGAAAAACACUACUGGUGUAUUCAAUUUUAUCCGGUAAUGAUUAAAUUGAUUAUUACAUGAACCGUAACUUCGCCAAGCCCAAAAUACAUAUUAAGUUAUAAAGUGUUGGCACUCAUUAUUUUUUGCAAAAAGUUUCGCCCAAAAUACAUAUAUAUUUUUUAAUUUUUUAUUUGACACAAAAUACUGACAAUUUUUUCUGUGAAAAAAAACUACUGUUAAAGACGCAUUAAUAAAAAAUGUCAAAAUGCAUAGAAAGAGCAGACACACGGAUGAUGAAUUUACUCAUCUUUAUUAGUAUUUGAACUUGAGAUGGAAACCGGAAGUCCUCCGCACAUAAACUUUGAAGAAACUGGAAAACGACUUUAUUCCAGAUAAUGCACACCAGAGUGACCAAAAUUCUCUUCAGUAACUAUAGAGAAAAUAUUAUUUUGCAUGCAUUUCACGUAACUGGAUCAAACUACUCCCCUGUUGGUUUAUCAGACCACAUUUUUAUGGUGCAAUAUAAACCAUCUUUUCAAAACACUUUUACAAUGUGAGAAAUAUAGGCAUUAAGUUUCAUAAACUAAAAACUCCAAUUGUCCAAAAAAAAAAAAAGGUGAGAAACUCAGUAGAAUUUACAACUUCUCAGACUCACGAAAAGGUGAGAAACAAAUGAUUUUUAUAUAGUUGUUCAUAGCUAACUUUUGGGGGUUUAAUGAUUUGUACAUUUUGUUUUAUGUUAUUCAAGGAAAGAUAUUCUGCUGUACCGUACAUCUCAUAGGCAGGGGCAUAUAUGCAUGAUUUGAUAUAAUUCUUGCAAUUUCUAAGUACUUGCUCUUUCCAUACCUUCUAAGUUUUGAAAGAAAGGUUGAAAUAAACAGAGAAACAGGACAAACAGAAGAAGACUGAAUUAACAGAUCAACAAAGAUGGCAACUAACAAAUGGAAAAGUUCUCUUGUAAUCAAACUAUAGCAAACAGAUGACACCAUUACCAUAUAUCUUAAUGAGUAGAUUGAUUCUAAACAUAUAUGUUAGGAUACAUUUGGUUGUUUAAUAGUUCGAAAUAAAGAGGAUGAGAUGGUUUCCACAUAAAAGUGCUGGGCCUUUCAAUGACAUUUUCAAGGAAUUAUAAAAUUCAAAAUUAAAAAAAAAUAGCACAUUAUAAAGCCACACCGUCAAAUAAAUAAAUAAAUAAGUGAAGACCAAACUAAGUCACUAAGACCUUUAAUGAUAUAAAAUAAGCAUAUAAAUCUCAGAACAAAACAUUAAAACUCAUUCUAAAAGUAAAAAUAAACUAGUGGUGUAUUCCAAACAAUUUAGAUGAAGCGAUAAAACAAGCCAAGAAAUCAAAUAAAAUGAAAUGAAAUUGAAUUACCUGGGACUUUGUUUUUCAAAUUCACAACUCGCUUGUAAUUAAAGUAAAAUGCCAAUGCCAUUAGGACAUAUACAUCAUUGAAUAAGAUGAGGACCCCUCCAACAGCUGAAAGUAAAAUUUUCAUUCAUUAGUUUCAAUUAAAAGUAAAGCACGCAGAGAUUUGCAGGGAAGCAAGAGAUUUAAUAAAUUUAACAACAGCAAUUUAAUUUGACAGGACUUCCAUACAGUAAUGAAGUUAAAAACUAACGAUUAACGAAAUUUUGUAAUUGAAUGAAUAAGAUUCUCUGAUUUUGGAUAAUUGAAUGAAUAGGAUUCUCUAACUCUUGUGAAAAUAUCAAUUUUAAAUAGGGUAGAGUUUCAAGAAUUAAGCACAUAUGUAUCCCAUCUGCCAGUACGUGAUCAUAAACUUACUUUAUAACAAAUAUCUGAUCUAUUUGGUGCAUUUUAUUUAAAAGAGAAAUUUUAUAAAAUUUUUCCACUGGUGAUAGUGAGUUAUUCGUACCUUCUCAGCAUGUAAAUGCUGUAUGAUUGUGUUAAGAUCAUUAUUAGCCCAAGGCUGUUGAUCGUCUCUCUCUCCAUAGUAGAAGUUUACUCUGAGAGGCGCGUUUAAUUCUCCUUUAGUGAAAAUCUUCAUCUUGGGACAACCAAUUAUAGAUAAAUCUUCCAAAGAUGGGAAUUUGAAGGUGUAAUUGGCAGAGCAGAAACUUGUGAGACUAUCCAAAUCAUACAGAUACAAAAUCUUCAAUUUGGUGAAAACAAUCUCUUCUUCAAAAUUUGCUGCUCCAUCUUCGUCAUUUAUCACCACCUCUCUCAUUGCUCUGCAUCCAUAUACCAACAUUGAUAAGAGUCGCUGUAGAGUUUGGAGUGACAGAUUCGAUAAUGAUCAACUCCAAAUACUGGCCAAGAUCGCAAAUCAAACAACCAAGAUGCAAAAAGAAUCAAUCCAGAACAAAUCACAGAGAAACUUAAGAACCGAAAAGAAUUAAAGAAUUAGCAGCAAAGACAAAAGAAUUAACAGAUUUUGACAAUAAUGUACAUUUAGAAUUUCAAGGCAUUGAACAAAGGAGUCCAAUUUGGAGUCUUGUUUCCACAAUUGCUUCAGAUGAUUAAAUUUGUGCAGAUCUAAAUGUUUUAUCAUUGUAAACUUCCUCACAUGUUUCUUCAAGUAUCCUCCAUUCGAAAAUACCUCUUCGCAUGAACAACGACGCCGUAUGAGAGUUUCCAGAUUAUGAAAUCUCUCAAGUAAAUCAAGUGGAAAACAAGUUGAGUCAUCAUCCACUGUUUGUAGUAGUUUAAGACUGCCAAAAAGGUGUUGUGGGAAAUCGCUCUGCAAAGUCAUCCUCGAGUCUUUUCCACUUAAUGCCAGUUGGGUAAGCUCUGAUCAUCAUCAAUCACGUAAUAACUUAUUAAGUCAAUUCAUAUUCUCUCAAAUAACUUUUAAUAAUCCAAUCAUACACAGUGACUUUAAUAUAAAUCAUAAUAAUUUACAAAAAAGAAGAAAAAAUCGAAUUAGAGGUAAAAGUUAUUCUACGAUUUUAUUUUUUAUAUAUAUCUUGCAUGCUAUUCCCAAGAGCAAUCCCAAACGGCCCUUAAAGCAAUUUUACAAAAGCGGCCGUUACAUAUAUUGCCAACUUUGUUGGGAAUGGCAAUGGGGAGAGGAGGGGAAGAGACCGAACUCCCCGUACCCAUUCAUGAUAUUCUGCAUAUAUCCUCGUCCUCUCCUCAUUUCUCACAAAAUUGCUUUAGGAAAUCCCCCUCCCCUCCCCAAAUAAUAAUAGGGGAUCCUUGAAGGCCCUCGAUCCUCGAAUAACUGAUACGUUUUUUGUUUUAAAUUUUAAUUUAAUCAUAUUAAAAUAAAAAAUAAAAAUAAAAAUAAAGUUUGACGAUAUAUCUUAUAUUAACAUUAAUCUAUUACAAAAGUCACAUUACAAAGUAUAAAUCACCAUAAUAAUUAUCUUCGGCAAUCUUCAAAAUCAUAUAAUAAAAAAAAGAAAUUACUUUUAUAUCAACAAUGAGAUAAAUGAAAUGAAUAUAGAUACUUAAUCAAUAUUUCUAAUAAAAGUAUUUACCUCUGCGUCUCCUACUCUUCUUGUUCUUCCUCGAGGAAUGUGACAAAUUGAGAGAUAGCCUCAGAUUUCAAAUUUAAAACAACAAAAAUAAUAUAAGUAAUGUAAAUUCUAAGUGAAAAUAUUAAUAAUUAUAUAAUAUAAUUACAAUGUAAAAUAAACUCAUACUGCCAUUGUAAGCUUGUAGUCAACUUUGACAACAUAUUAAAGCCUCCAAUGUGCUUGAAUAAAGCGUGUUACGGUACUCUACCACUGGUGCUAAAAGCUAAUUCAGAAGCAACAUUUGUAAUUAGAAUUGCCAAAAUAUCUCUAGCAAUUCAUGCCAGUAUAGGAUAUCUAUAGACAUUUAUUUUACACCAACUCAAAAUAUUAAAAUCUUUCAUCCUAAGCAUAACUUUCUCAUCCAAAUAUUAAUGUAGUCAAUUAGGCCUAAAUUUUAAUAAUAUAAUUAUUUUAUUUUUUUUUAUUUAUACUAAUAUUUAAUAUUUUAUUAUUUAUUUACAAAUAAUUUUAAAAAAUAAAAUUAAAUCAAAAAAUUAGAAGAGAAUAGGGAUUCUGCCGAUCCCCGUUCUUUCUCUGAAUAAGAAAUUAGGUAAAAAAACUAUCUCCGUCUCCUUUUCAAAUAAAAAAUUAAGUAAAAAAUUAUGUACCCACCUGAAUUGGGAAAAUCUCGAGGGUCAUGUCCCCGCGGCAAUAUCUGCCAUUCCUAAACUUGUAACAGCCAGUUGCUUUUGUGACCGUUUAUGUGACGGCUAGACUGCUCUCACUUAUGUUACUAACCACGUGACGGUAGAGAGUGACGGUAGAGAGUGACGGUAGAGUUAUAAAUUUGUUUCUAAAUAGAAAACUAUUUGCUGGAGUCAAUAUUUUGAAGACCAAAGUCCCAAAUUCUCUCUCGUGCCUGGCCAGCAUCCUAAACCUUACUGGUAGCCGGAGAAUGGCGUAAAACGGCAGCGAUCUUCUUCUUCAUCUUAUUCUCUCUCUUCGUUUCAGGUAAGCUUGUGAUUAUGAGUUUCCUCUCUUUCUUAGCUUGUAAUUAUAGGUUUUGAUCUCUUUACUUCGUAUUGUAGCCAUUAAUGUCAAUUUUUGUCCCACCGGCAAUGAGAAAAAAUCGAAUUAGAGGUAAAAGUUAUUCUACGAUUUUAUUUUUUAUAUAUAUCUUGCAUGCUAUUCCCAAAAGCAAUCCCAAACGACCCUUAAAGCAAUUUUACAAAAGCGGCCCGUACAUGUAUUGCCAACUUUGUUAGGAAUGGCAAUGGGAAGGGGAGGGGAAGAGACCGACCUCCCCGUACCCAUUCUCGAUAUUCUGUAUAUAUCCCUGGCCUCUUCCCAUUCACAAAAUUGCUUUAGGGAAUCCCCCUCCCCUCCCUAAAUAAUAAUAGGGGAUCCUUAAAGGUCCUCGAUUCUCGAAUAACUGAUACGUUUUUAGUUUUAAAUUUUAAUUUAAUCAUAUUAAAAUAAAAAAUAAAAAUAAAAAUAAAGUUUGACGAUAUAUCUUACAUUAACAUUAAUCUAUUACAAAAGUCACAUUACAAAGUAUAAAUCACCAUAAUAAUUAUCUUCGGCAAUCUUCAAAAUCAUAUAAUAAAAAAAAAGAAAUUACUUUUAUAUCAACAAUGAGAUAAAUGAAAUGAAUAUAGAUACUUAAUCAAUAUUUCUAAUAAAAGUAUUUACCUCUUGUGUCUCCUACUCUUCUUGUUCUUCCUCGAGAAAUGUGACAAAUUGAGAGAUAGCCUCAGAUUUCAAAUUUAAAACAAUAAAAAUGAUAUAAGUAAUGUAAAUUCUAAUUAAAAUAAACUCAUACUGCCAUUGUAAGCUUGUAGUCAACUUUGACAACAUAUUAAAGCCUCCAAUGUGCUUGAAUAAAGCGUGUUACGGUACUCUACCACUGGUGCUAAAAGCUAAUUCAGAAGCAACAUUUGUAAUUAGAAUUGCCAAAAUAUCUCUAGCAAUUCNNNNNNNNNNNNNNNNNNNNNNNNNNNNNNNNNNNNNNNNNNNNNNNNNNNNNNNNNNNNNNNNNNNNNNNNNNNNNNNNNNNNNNNNNNNNNNNNNNNNNNNNNNNNNNNNNNNNNNNNNNNNNNNNNNNNNNNNNNNNNNNNNNNNNNNNNNNNNNNNNNNNNNNNNNNNNNNNNNNNNNNNNNNNNNNNNNNNNNNNNNNNNNNNNNNNUUGAAAACCAAAGUCCCAAAUUCUCUCUCGUGCGUGCCUGGCCAUCCUAAACCUUACUGGUAGCCGGAGAAUGGCGUAAAACGGCAGCGAUCUUCUUCUUCAUCUUAUUCUCUCUCUCAUCGUUUCAGGUAAGCUUGUGAUUAUGAGUUUCUUCUCUUUCUUAGCUUGUAAUUAUAGGUUUUGAUUUCUUUAAUUCGUAUUGUAGCCAUUAAUGUCAAUUUUUGUCCCACCGGCAAUGUUUUUUGUUCCUAGAAGUUGAAGCCCUUCUGUUCUUGUGCCAUUGGUGAGUUUGCUCACUCAAAUUAAUUUUGUUCUGCGGAGUUUACAAAGUUCAAAUGGAUUCAUUUGGAUUACUAUUGAAUUUAGCUUUCAUUUCAACAUUCAUUCUAAUGUUUUACAAUCAUGUAUUUAGAUUUACUUUUAUUUUAUGUUUAAAGCUUCCACAAUGAAUAGCGGAGCUUGGGUUUUAGUUUCAUUUUCUAAUUAACUUGUUUUAGUUUAUCUUAUAUGCUCGCCAAGUGCUUGUUAUAUUGUCUGAUAAGUUAUAUAACAUUGCUGAUUCUAUAUUAGUAAUGUCAUGUUCCAUUUUCGGAAAUUAUAACACAAAAGUUUUUACAAUGGCUUGCAUCUACAAACUGAAUUGACUUGUAGAGUAAGAGCUUGGAUUAGUGUUAUGUUCUUGAAUAAAUGAAAGUUCAUAUUGUGUAAGAGCAUGUAGAUGUAAAGCAUCACUACCAUUUCUACAAAAUGCUUUCAUUCUGUUCAGAUGCUCCUCUUGAACUUUGAAAGGUGCCUCAUUCAAGUCCUAGCUAUAACUACUAGCUCUGAUUGCUUAAGUUCCUGUGCUAGCUGAAACAGAUUUAUUUAAUUAAUUAAUUGUGUAUGUACUAAUUAUAUUGAAAGUAUAUGAAGAAAUUGUUUAACAUGAAUGACUUCUAAAUGACUUAAAAGCCUAAAGGAUAUGUGAAAUAAUGCUCAUUUCACUUGAACGAGCCUAUUAAUACUUGUAUGUCUAUGAUUGUCAAUCUUGCUUAAGUGUUUCAGUUAAGUGGUUUACCUAACAGGGAAAAAAAUUUAAUGGAAAACUUUAGAGUUCUAACAGAAAUAUAGUUGACUGCAGAUAUAGUUAUUUUACAGUACAUAAAUCAUAUUGUCCUAUUCUCAAUGUCCUGCGACCUAUUUUAUUUUAUAUGGUCAUUCAUUUUUGCGAUGGUUUUUUGUGCUUAUGAGUAUGGAAAUAGUGGGAUUUAGAGUGGCAAACAAAAAUAUACAUAUAAUCAAGUUUCUUAAUCAUGUAUAUUGGUUUUGGGUAUGAAUGUUUUCCUAUUCUAGUUCUAGGCAAAGUUUCUUCAUUUUGGUCUUCAGAUUUCCAGUAGGUUAAGUUAAGCAACUAUCAUAACUAGCUAGCUAGUUAUUGCCUGCCUUGUCGCCAUUACCGACGCCAUUACAUUGCAUGGCAUAAGGAAUAGUAACUAGGUGAUUAUUGGUGAUUCCUUGAGUUUAUUAUUGGCCAAACAAACAUAUUCGCCUUUACCCACAACUUAGUUUGAUUAGUUAUUAGAUAAUAAAGAGCCUUAAUCUAUGCAUUGCUUUAUUAUUUUUAUUUGGUUUUUCUUUCAACAAUAUUGUUGAUUUCUUAUAAACAGUACUAGUAGUGAAAAAAUGAUGACAACAACAAAAAUAGAAAAUUACAAGACUGCUGAUAAAAUUUCAUUUGCAUGCAUGUCUGACAAAAUUUCCGUGAUUUAAUGUGCUUUCAUGAACGCAAGUCCUAACGUUUCUGUGAUCACAAAAUGAAACUGAAGAUAAAACAGAACAACUACCAAACCUUUCAAGCUUGACGAAGCCAUGAGAAUUGAUAGCUCAGGCAGAAGUAUUUUAAUAUGAAUGACUUAAAACUUAUUGCUCAGUAAACAUAAUGUGCAUCAGUGCUAGAAAAUGUAUUUAUUGUUUGUAAUUUUUUAUGGUUUUGCUUAAGAAAUGAAAUGUGAAAAAAUGCUACAUUUUAUUAGGAAUAAAUUGAAGAGAUUUAUGAUUUUUAUGUGUUAUUCAAGUUUCAGAUUCAAUUUUAAACUUUUGAUACAUGCAUUGAAAGCUUAAACUCCUUUAAGAAAUUAUUAAUAGACACAUGUUUUAUUAGUGUCAUCUUUUGGAUGAUAGUGAGGAUCUUAUGUCUAUUAAUAAUUCUUGAAUUAUCUAGGCUUGGACAGUUUGGUAAUGCAUAGAUUUCUAUGGUAGCUAGUGCCUGAAAUUUUUUUCCCACGUAAAAAUGGGUUUUUCAGCAGCUGCUCCUCAUGUUCUCUGGGUGCAUACUAGACAAAUGGGUGUCAUGUAUUGUUUUGGCAUAACACAUAAACACUCAUAUAUCUAUGUCGUUGCUUGGAGAACUAAAGGGAGAUGCUGCCGAAAUUUCUAUAAACGUAGAAGAAAACUUUAAAGUACUUGAGAUUGAAGAAACUUAUGCAUUCUUGAGAGGGAUAUACGGGACCACUUACCUUUUGUAAAUAUGAAGGGAAUGUUGGAUAUAUUGAUGGGAGUGGAGGAGCUGAGUGGGAUGAAUGUAAUCGGUUAUGAUUUUGCUGAGUCGACUUGGUUUUGAGUCUUGUAAUUUUUUUUAUAAAUGGAGUACUAUCUCCAAUGUUGGUUUAUAAAUAUGUUUCAGCUGGCUGACCUAAUUUUUUGUUUCUAGGUAACAGGCUUUAUAUAUCUGUAAUUGAUAGCCAAGUGAAGUUCUCAGCAGUGGGUGAGGAUAUUUCUUUACAGAAGGUAUUGCAAACUGUUUUUUAGAUUAAUUAUUGUUGUAUAUAUACUUUAAUUUUCACAUCUUUUUCUCUGAUUCUUGUGGCUUUGCUUGCUUCCAUAUAUAUAAACGUUCUAAUGAGAUUAACCAUAAAAUUGUAUAAUAAUUUUUUUUAUUAUAUUGCGAAACUGCGCACACAUGAAAAUAUCUUGUUUAGUAGUAGAAAUGAAGAAUUAAAGUGAUUUAUUUAACUAAUUUUUCUAGUGCAUUAAAAGGACAUAGUCAUGGACCAGAGUUGGGUUGGUUUGCCAAAUAGAUAUCCAAUUCAUAUAAAAUUUAUAGAUUUUGCAUUUGAGAAUGUUGUUGGUGAUAAAAGAAUUUAUUGUCCUUCUAAGAAGUGUCGUAAUAUCGAUAUUUCCUUAUAAGGAAAGUGGCAAGAGACCAUAUCAUUAUAAAUGGCUAUUGGUUAAAGUAUUAAAACUGGAUAUUGGAGGGUGAGCCAUCUUCAUCUUUGAAAUCUAACUAAGAAACAGGUUAGUCAUGACUCGGGUAGUGAUGCUAGUAUGGUUGGAAUGAUGCAUAAUGCAUCACAUAAUCAAAUGUUCAAGUCACACGCAGCAUUGUUAUGGACUAUCUCCGACUUUCUAGCAUAUGCCAACUUGUUUGGGUGGAGUAUUAAAGGUAAAUAAGCAUUUCUUGUUUGCCAACAAAACACUAGAUCUAAUUGGUUGAUACAUAGUAGAAAAUUGUCACGUGGGUCACCGUCGAUUUUUACCAACAAAUCAUAGGUUCCGAAAAUAUAGUGCCAUCUGAUAAAACUAGAGAGUGGGGACAAGCACCUUCUCGGUUGUCUGGAGCUGAGGUGAAAAAGCAGUUCAGUAAUGUACUUACUGAGUAUAAGAUUGAAGACUUGAAAAGAGGAGAAUGAAUAAAAUAAAAGAAAUGAUAAGAUUACUUGGAAGAAGAAAAGCAUUUUUUAUGAACUAACGUAUUGGGAGUUCAAUUUGAUUCAUCAUAAUCUUGAUGUCAUGCACCGUUUUGAUUUUUGUUAUGAACUCAGAUCAAAAGUUUAAUGUGAUCAAAAUUUCUUAAAAAUAGUGAAAACGACUCCUCCUAAUAAUAUGGAAGAUGGCUAUAAAAGAUAAUUUCUUAAAAGUUUAAUGUGAUCAAAAUUGCUUGUGAACGCAAGGGUUUUAGUUACACUGUCAACGCUGUCAAUGUAGUGAUACAAUGAAGAUGAAGUAAAGCAUUAGUAGAAUAAUGAAGUUGACCAGUAACACAGUAAAGCAAAUUUUAUUCCAGAGCAUGAAAACUUUUAAACAGUAACACAGCUCUUAUUCCAGAGGCUGCACGCGAGUGACCUGAAUCUUCUUCAGAACUUUCAAAUUUUAUCAAGCAAAGCUUUCAAAAUCCUUGCCUUCCUAAGUUAGGAAAGAUAGAUGUGGAGCAAACUAUUUUUUUUAGAUAUUUUCACUUUGGGCUGUCAGCCCGAGGAAGUAGGGGGGUCUGAGUUAUUCAACUGAAAAUGUCGGCCAAGUUCUUGUGUUAGUUUUAGUAUAUUGUGUAAAAAUGAUACACUAACUUGAAUUUAUAUGCUUUUAUGACUAUUUGAUAAUCAAAUGGGUAAAUGACACGAAGAACUUUGAGUUUAAAGAGUGUAAUUAAUCUCAAAUAUCAACAUUAUAAAUUAUGAGUGUAAUUGAUUGGGUAAAUACUCGUUUAAUCCCUAAAUUUUGAUAUAAGUGUCCGUUUAAUCUCCAAAUUUUAAAAAGUGCGUAAAAACACUCUUAUUGUUCAAUAUGUUACAUUCUUAUCAUUGUUUGUUUCUUUUCUUUUACAAUAAUAAUAUUGCAACAAUAUUCUUGACAUUAAUUAAUUUAUUUAUAAAAAAAUUAAUUAGCAAAUUAACCAAUAAAUAUAAGUGUGAAAGAACUAAUAUUUUUUGUAGCACAUGCCAACUUGUCUGAGUGGAGUAUUAAAGGUAAAUAAGCAUUUCUUGUUUGCCAACAAAACACUAGAUCUAAUUGGUUGAUACAUAGUAGAAAAUUUUGUCACGUCGGUAACGUCGAUUUUUACCGACGAAUCAUAGGUUUCGAAAAUAUAGUGCCUUUUGAUAAAUCUAGAGAGUGGGGACAAGCACCUUCUCGGAUGUCUGGAGCUGAAGUGAAAAAGCAGUUGAAUAAUAUCCUUACUGAGUUUAAGAUUGAAGACUUGAAAAGUGGAGAAUGAAAAAAAUGAGAGAAAUGACAAGAUUACUUGGAAGAAGAAAAUCAUAUUUUAUGAACUACCGUGUUGGGAGUUCAAUUUGAUUCAUCAUAAAAUGUGAGACAUGAGGGAGAGACAAAAGCUCAGGCUUGUCUGCAACCAUGUGGGCCCUCAUAAGCAAUUCGUGUACACAACUUGGUUCACCAAGCCCAACAACUUGAAGCAGGCAAAAUCCGGGAACGAUCCUUCUCCUUCGCAACCCUAGCUGCCUUAACCUUGUAUUUCUGAUAUUUAGUUAAAGAGUAAGAAGAUUGCUCCUCUGUCAAUUACCUUCGAGAGAGACUUUCUUUUUCAUUCACCGAUGCUUGCUUGUGAAAGCAAGGGUUUUAGUUACGCUUUCAACGCUGUCAAUGUAGUGAAGUUAAGCAUUCGUAGAAUAGUGAAGUAAAGCAUUCGUAGAAUAAUGAAGAUGGAAGCCCCACAGCAUGAAAACUUUUAAACAGUAACACAGCUCUUAUUCCAGAGGCUGCACGCGAGUGACCUGAAUCUUCUUCAGAACUUUCAAAUUUUAUCAAGCGAAGCUUUCAAAAUUUCUCAACAAAUUGAUUAUUUGGUGUGGUUGCCACAUUUUGAGUAACCGCUAUUUGUUCUCAAGUACAAAAUCCUUGCCUUCCUAAGUUAGGAAAUAUAAAUGUGAAGCAAACCAAAUGAAAUAAAUGGGUAAACAGAACAAGCAGGGCAAAAAUUAAAAAUGAUGGCAAUUAACAAAUUAAUAGCAAUGUUACAUUUGACUCUUUAGCCCUUUGUUCCUUCUCUUAGCAUUCUUCAAAGGUUUUGAAAAUAGGACGUGAAGCAAACAAAAUAAAAUAAAUUUAGACAACACAUGCCCUGUAUUCAGCAUCAUAUAUAUCUCGCAUAUCUAAUAUAAUAAAUUUCACAUCUAAAAUACUAGAAUUUCAAACAGAAUAUCUAAUAAUAGUAAAAAAAUGACGACAACAACAAAAAUAGAAAAUUACAAGACUGCUGAUAAAAUUUCAUUUGCAUGCAUGUCUGACAAAAUUUCCGUGGUUUAAUGUGCUUUCAUGAACGCAAGUCCUAACGUUUCUGUGAUCACAAAAUGAAACUGAAGAUAAACCUUUCAAGCUUGACGAAGCCAUGAGAAUUGAUAGCUCAGGCACUGAUACCAAGUUAAAGUUUCUAAUCUGUUUGGUAAGUAAGAAAAUGUGAGAAAAUGAAAGAAAGAACAGAGAUCAUCUAAGAGCUGGAUUUGAUAAGUAAAUAUGAAUCAUCCAUUCAUUAGUUGAUUGCAAAUGUAUUUAUACGAGGUUCCUGAACAUUUCAGAUUCUAUAUGCUCGAGCUAAGCACCUGAGAGUUGAGCAGUGUGCACUAACAAACUGCUAACAAAAUAACUAACUUAUGCCAGCUCAGCUAACACGUCAGUAACUCUUAACUAUCUUGCUUAACAAACUGAAACAAUAACUAACCAUUUUAACUAUCUUAACAAUCCCAAUAAUUUUUCCAUUUGUGUAUUUUUUUGAAUCAUAAUCAAAUGGGUAAAUGUUGCAACUAUUUUUUUUAGAUAUUUUCACUUUGGGCUGUCAGCCCGAGGAAGUACGGGGGUCUGAGUUAUUCAACUGAAAAUGUCGGCCAAGUUCUUGUGUUAGUUUUAGUAUAUUGUGUAAAAAUGAUACACUAACUUGAAUUUAUAUGCUUUUAUGACUAUUUGAUAAUCAAAUGGGUAAAUGACACGAAGAACUUUGAGUUUAAAGAUCUGGCCCUGAUGCCUAGUAGCCCUCCAACCCAUGAAGCACUAGAUGUUUUAAUGAGAAAACGACAAGACCAUUUAUCAAAUUUCUUGUGGAUAUAAAUACAUACAUAGAGUGAUUCAAAUCUCAAAAUACAAUAGAAAUUCAUGACAUAUAUAUAAUAAAAGACCUCUCAUUGAGUCAUAUAUAUUGAGAAUAAAAUUUUUUUAAUACAUACAAAGAGCUUAUCUAGAAUGAAAUGUAAACUUUUUUAAUACAUACAAUGAUCAAACAAAGGAAACAGACAGGUUGCAACUCACACUAUCACAGAUGUAGCGACACGAUGCAGUGAAUCACAAGAAGAUCACGAAGAUGGAAACGGGAACCCCUCAGAAUGUAAACUUUGAAUAGAGGAAAAAAGAAAAACGACCUUAUUUCAAAUUGCGCACAGAAGAAGAGUGACUUAAAUCGUCAUCAGUAUCCA
rnacentral:lncRNA from 1 species